AAAUUGAAGAGUUUGAUCAUGGCUCAGAUUGAACGCUGGCGGCAGGCCUAACACAUGCAAGUCGAACGGUAACAGGGAAACAGCUUGCUGUUU
rnacentral:rRNA from 1 species